UUGGGCUGGACGCGGUACGGCUGCGAGAGAGCGGGCGCAUCCCGCCCCUCUGCUCGGCCCUGAUGGGGUACAGAGGCCACGAAGAUGAGGAUGAUGUGGAGCAUCUCUGCUUUGUGAGGAAAGGCAGCGGGAGCUGGGCCUGUUGAGUCGGGAGAAGACUGAGAGGGGAUCUCAUUAAUGCAAAUAAAUAUCUCCAAGGAAGAAGAACUUCUUCACGUUGAGGGGUUGCAGAGUUCUGGAACCGCUGCCCGGGUAGGCAAGGAGGGUCUUCCUCUGGAGACAUUCAAACCCACUUGGAUGCAUUCCUGUGUCACCUGCUCCAGGUGACCGUGCCUUAGUGGCGGAGGGGCUGGAGGGGAUGACCGCCGAAGGGGAAUAAUUCUGUGAUUCUGCGAAACAAAACCGGCUCCAGUGGCAUUCCUGGAGGAGGCGCCCUGGAGGCAGAGGGUGUCGCUGCUCUCUCCGCGGCAGCUGCUGUAACCUCUGAUUUCAAGUAGCACCGAGUAUUUGAUGCAUUUCUCCUCUUGUUCUUCCCCGUCCUUUCCUGACCAAACUGCCUUUCCCCUUCCUUUCCUGACCAAACUGCCUGAGCUCUGUCUGGCUGCUCUUUCCCCCCAGCGGGAUUGGGGAGAGAAUCAGCAAAAUGAGAAAAGUUGUUUAUUGAGAUAAAGACUAAUUUGUCUAGUAAGUUAUUAGUAUUGGCUAUUAAACUAUGGGGAAUGCAAAAGCUGCACACGCAAGAAAGCAAAGCAAGAAAUUAAUGCACUGCUUCCCGUGACCAGGCAGAUGUUCAGCCAUCUCCAGAAUGGGGCUCCAUCGUGUAUAACAGUGACUUGGGGAGACAAAUGCCAUCACUGUGAAUGUUCCCCCUUUUGUCUUCCCCACAGCUUAUCAUCCUGAUAAUGAUGCUAUAAGGUGUGGAAUAUAAUCAGCACUGUGUUCAGCAGAAAUCCAAAGCAAAACUCCAUACUAGCUAAUUAGCUUUGCCUCAGCCAAAAACCAGCACACAGAAACAUCAGUCCAGCAUUGCCCUGAGGACACAACAAGUAGGUACAUUCACAGUUCAGUUAUUGACUAUUAGGCACAGAAAGCAAGAGAUGUAUCCUUUACCUCUUUUCCAAAGUGUUAACAAAGAACAGGAUGCUCCAUGAUAGCUCCAGAAGUAUAAGGGAAAGGCAUUCAACCAGGUAUAGAAAGAACAAUAUUGGAAGAAGACUUUGGAAUCCAUUCUUGCUAAGAGCAGCAGCAGUAGUAUUUAUAUAUAUUGGUGCCUCACUCAUGACCAAACUCCACUAAGUGGUAUUUGACAGUGACUUUUGCUCCACUCCCUUUACUGCUGUAAUGCUUGAGGUGAUGGGUGGAUCACUUUAACACUGACUUACACAAGUGUUUUGUUAGGGAAAGUGAAGUCCACUAACAGUUCUAUUGAUAUGUCUAGACAGAGGAACAGCUGGAAGGGUCUAUGUUUCAAAGUGAUCCAUCCCAUUGCUGAUCCAAAAUCUCAAUUUUUAGCAGAAAGAGUAGAUGUAAGAAGUUCUUUAAAGUUGUACCAUCUGGAUUGUUUUAGGUGUUGCUGCUACUGUUUUGCCCUGCUUUGCUACAUUCACAAACUGCCUCCAUGUCCUGGUCCCCAUCUCCCAUGUGGAUUUGGUACCAGGAGCUCCUACAAUUAAUAAAGAGGAAAAAACGUGGCUUAGAAAAUGCAUUUUGACAUCUCAUGCUAUCUAUGGUACUUUUAGCCACAUAAUGGUUUCUGAAAAAUACCCAACCUGAUACAAUGAAGAAGCAAAUGUGUCAAAUGUCCCAAGUUACAAAUUACUCUUGGAUAAUA